GAUAUGACAGUAGUUUUGUGGUUCUCUCCCUUAGAUAAUUUUAAAAAAAAUAUUUUUAUAUUUUGUUUGUCAUGCAACUUGAACAGUUUUAUCUUCCCCAUUGAGCUUACCUCUUUGACGCCGCAGGGCUGUCAGUUCAGUUGUGUCUAGCCACCUCCCCCUUCCCAUGCUCCCCAACCCCUCAUCAUUAAUACAUAAAUAAUAUCUGUUUACAGCAACAAUCAAUAUCCCCCCCCCCUCUUGGCUUUUAAUAUUUCCCGUCCAUGUCACCUCCUGUUCACAACACGGGCUAAUUUAGCAGCAUCUCACCGCCACACGCCAGAGCUCGGCCAAAGCUGUAGUUUUCUCGGCUGACAUUUGGAGAAUAAUUGCCAACUUAGAGUCCACGUAAUAGAGGAGUAUACGCAGAACGUAGAUGUCGUUGUUUUUUUGUGUGUGGGUCUUAGUGUACAGUCCAUCUUUUAAGUGACUAAGUGGAGUUUCACGGAUCAAUGUUCGGCUUAAACGGCUCCUGGCAGAGUGCGAAACAUUCUUCUGUUCCCUACAGCCAGUCAACAGCAUCUCACCGGGCGAUCGUCGUACUCACUCACUGGAGAAACCUUUCAUAGUACUGGAGACGCUCUUGGAACCUGACGGGAUUCACUAGCUCCAAGGGUACCCUUCGGAAACCGGAAAUUUAUCUUCAGAUUUUGAGUGAUUACCAAAACACAAAUAAGCGUUACUUUCAAGCGAGUGUUCUGGAUUGGUUUGUUUCUUGCUGGUUUCUUUGUUUGAGUGUUUUUCUUCACUUCAUCGAGAUUUGUGAUUAAUCAAAAACAAAACAAAAA
rnacentral:sRNA from 1 species